CUUCAAGAGCUUGUUGCGGGCAGAUGAAGUGAAUAUGAGUGUCAAACCCUCCAGCCGUAAUGAGAUCGUGUUCUCCUGCAACGACAUCUGUGCAAGAUCCAACAAUCAUUGCCUUGUCGACGCCUUCCAUAACAUCUGGAUUGCCAGCUUUUCCAAUGCCAACGAUAACGCCGUCCUUGAUACCAAUAUCUGCCUUGUAGAUACCUGACCAGUCGACGAUCAAUGCGUUGGUAAUCACAGUAUCCAAACACUCCGUGUCACGUCGUCCACCAGCUUGACCCAUACCAUCUCUUAG
rnacentral:sRNA from 1 species